GGUUAAGCGACUAAGCGUACACGGUGGAUGCCCUGGCAGUCAGAGGCGAUGAAGGACGUGCUAAUCUGCGAUAAGCGUCGGUAAGGUGAUAUGAACCGUUAUAACCGGCGAUUUCCGAAUGGGGAAACCCAGUGUGAUUCGUCACACUAUCAUUAACUGAAUCCAUAGGUUAAUGAGGCGAACCGGGGGAACUGAAACAUCUAAGUACCCCGAGGAAAAGAAAUCAACCGAGAUUCCCCCAGUAGCGGCGAGCGAACGGGGAGCAGCCCAGAGCCUGAAUCAGUGUGUGUGUUAGUGGAAGCGUCUGGAAAGGCGUGCGAUACAGGGUGACAGCCCCGUACACAAAAAUGCACAUACUGUGAGCUCGAUGAGUAGGGCGGGACACGUGGUAUCCUGUCUGAAUAUGGGGGGACCAUCCUCCAAGGCUAAAUACUCCUGACUGACCGAUAGUGAACCAGUACCGUGAGGGAAAGGCGAAAAGAACCCCGGCGAGGGGAGUGAAAAAGAACCUGAAACCGUGUACGUACAAGCAGUGGGAGCACGCUUAGGCGUGUGACUGCGUACCUUUUGUAUAAUGGGUCAGCGACUUAUAUUCUGUAGCAAGGUUAACCGAAUAGGGGAGCCGAAGGGAAACCGAGUCUUAACUGGGCGUUAAGUUGCAGGGUAUAGACCCGAAACCCGGUGAUCUAGCCAUGGGCAGGUUGAAGGUUGGGUAACACUAACUGGAGGACCGAACCGACUAAUGUUGAAAAAUUAGCGGAUGACUUGUGGCUGGGGGUGAAAGGCCAAUCAAACCGGGAGAUAGCUGGUUCUCCCCGAAAGCUAUUUAGGUAGCGCCUCGUGAAUUCAUCUCCGGGGGUAGAGCACUGUUUCGGCAAGGGGGUCAUCCCGACUUACCAACCCGAUGCAAACUGCGAAUACCGGAGAAUGUUAUCACGGGAGACACACGGCGGGUGCUAACGUCCGUCGUGAAGAGGGAAACAACCCAGACCGCCAGCUAAGGUCCCAAAGUCAUGGUUAAGUGGGAAACGAUGUGGGAAGGCCCAGACAGCCAGGAUGUUGGCUUAGAAGCAGCCAUCAUUUAAAGAAAGCGUAAUAGCUCACUGGUCGAGUCGGCCUGCGCGGAAGAUGUAACGGGGCUAAACCAUGCACCGAAGCUGCGGCAGCGACGCUUAUGCGUUGUUGGGUAGGGGAGCGUUCUGUAAGCCUGUGAAGGUGUGCUGUGAGGUAUGCUGGAGGUAUCAGAAGUGCGAAUGCUGACAUAAGUAACGAUAAAGCGGGUGAAAAGCCCGCUCGCCGGAAGACCAAGGGUUCCUGUCCAACGUUAAUCGGGGCAGGGUGAGUCGACCCCUAAGGCGAGGCCGAAAGGCGUAGUCGAUGGGAAACAGGUUAAUAUUCCUGUACUUGGUGUUACUGCGAAGGGGGGACGGAGAAGGCUAUGUUGGCCGGGCGACGGUUGUCCCGGUUUAAGCGUGUAGGCUGGUUUUCCAGGCAAAUCCGGAAAAUCAAGGCCGAGGCGUGAUGACGAGGCACUACGGUGCUGAAGCAACAAAUGCCCUGCUUCCAGGAAAAGCCUCUAAGCAUCAGGUAACAUCAAAUCGUACCCCAAACCGACACAGGUGGUCAGGUAGAGAAUACCAAGGCGCUUGAGAGAACUCGGGUGAAGGAACUAGGCAAAAUGGUGCCGUAACUUCGGGAGAAGGCACGCUGAUACGUAGGUGAAGCGACUUGCUCGUGGAGCUGAAAUCAGUCGAAGAUACCAGCUGGCUGCAACUGUUUAUUAAAAACACAGCACUGUGCAAACACGAAAGUGGACGUAUACGGUGUGACGCCUGCCCGGUGCCGGAAGGUUAAUUGAUGGGGUUAGCGCAAGCGAAGCUCUUGAUCGAAGCCCCGGUAAACGGCGGCCGUAACUAUAACGGUCCUAAGGUAGCGAAAUUCCUUGUCGGGUAAGUUCCGACCUGCACGAAUGGCGUAAUGAUGGCCAGGCUGUCUCCACCCGAGACUCAGUGAAAUUGAACUCGCUGUGAAGAUGCAGUGUACCCGCGGCAAGACGGAAAGACCCCGUGAACCUUUACUAUAGCUUGACACUGAACAUUGAGCCUUGAUGUGUAGGAUAGGUGGGAGGCUUUGAAGUGUGGACGCCAGUCUGCAUGGAGCCGACCUUGAAAUACCACCCUUUAAUGUUUGAUGUUCUAACGUGGACCCGUGAUCCGGGUUGCGGACAGUGUCUGGUGGGUAGUUUGACUGGGGCGGUCUCCUCCUAAAGAGUAACGGAGGAGCACGAAGGUUGGCUAAUCCUGGUCGGACAUCAGGAGGUUAGUGCAAUGGCAUAAGCCAGCUUGACUGCGAGCGUGACGGCGCGAGCAGGUGCGAAAGCAGGUCAUAGUGAUCCGGUGGUUCUGAAUGGAAGGGCCAUCGCUCAACGGAUAAAAGGUACUCCGGGGAUAACAGGCUGAUACCGCCCAAGAGUUCAUAUCGACGGCGGUGUUUGGCACCUCGAUGUCGGCUCAUCACAUCCUGGGGCUGAAGUAGGUCCCAAGGGUAUGGCUGUUCGCCAUUUAAAGUGGUACGCGAGCUGGGUUUAGAACGUCGUGAGACAGUUCGGUCCCUAUCUGCCGUGGGCGCUGGAGAACUGAGGGGGGCUGCUCCUAGUACGAGAGGACCGGAGUGGACGCAUCACUGGUGUUCGGGUUGUCAUGCCAAUGGCACUGCCCGGUAGCUAAAUGCGGAAGAGAUAAGUGCUGAAAGCAUCUAAGCACGAAACUUGCCCCGAGAUGAGUUCUCCUGACCCUUUAAGGGUCCUGAAGGAACGUUGAAGACGACGACGUUGAUAGGCCGGGUGUGUAAGCGCAGCGAUGCGUUGAGCUAACCGGUACUAAUGAACCGUGAGGCUUAACCUU
rnacentral:rRNA from 1 species